rnacentral:lncRNA from 1 species
GCAUUUACCGAAUAGCAAUAUCCAGACACAAGUUAAUCAUGGGUAUUGUAUAAUUAAAUAAUUAAGUCCUAAAGGGAGGAUAUAUGAUUUGGAGUGGUGAUCUUGAAUUAGGAAUUUGAAUGUUAGCAAUGUUGAAUUUAGCAAUUUGAAUGUUAGCAACAUCUUGAAAUGUUUCAAGAUGAUAGUAGAGAUUUGCUGUGUAGAACUUUGGCAUCUAAUGAUGGAACAAGAUAAACUACAAGUCUGUUUGGUGGUUAAGGUAUGGGAAUUGAGAUAAAAUGAAGCAUGGCCAACCCAAUAUUUGGAAAUAAAAUUGAAAAUUGACAUUCAACUUAAAGUUCUUUGAAUUAAAUAAACUGCU